rnacentral:rRNA from 1 species
UACGUAGGGUGCGAGCGUUGUCCGGAAUUACUGGGCGUAAAGAGCUCGUAGGUGGUUUGUCGCGUUGUUCGUGAAAACUCACAGCUCAACUGUGGGCGUGCGGGCGAUACGGGCAGACUGGAGUACUGCAGGGGAGACUGGAAUUCCUGGUGUAGCGGUGGAAUGCGCAGAUAUCAGGAGGAACACCGGUGGCGAAGGCGGGUCUCUGGGCAGUAACUGACGCUGAGGAGCGAAAGCGUGGGGAGCGAACAGGA